GCCCAGCCUCGGCGGUGGCCGGUCCAGGUCCUCUCUAUUCUCUGCUCGCUGCUCUUCGCCAUUCUUCUCGCCUUCCUCCUCGCCAUCGCCUACUUGAUCGUUAAAGAGUUGCAUGCUGAGAAUUUGAAAAAUGAAGAUGAUGUAGACACUGGACUAUUAGGAAUUAUCUGUAUUAGCAGGAAAUUUUCCCUUAUGCUGUAAGUUGCAAAGGAUUCUGGACUCUACUUAUAAUAUCCCUAACUGCUGGAUUCUCCUGUUGCAGCUUUUCUUGGACAGUGACUUACUUUGAUUCUUUUGAACCAGGAAUGUUUCCUCCUACUCCUCUUUCACCUGCCAGGUUCAAGAAACUGACUGGACAUUCUUUCCACAUGGGCUAUAGCAUGGCGAUUUUGAAUGGCAUCGUAGCUGCUCUUACUGUAGCAUGGUGCCUCAUGUAAACCCACACUGGAGCGAUAUUGUUGGCAAAACUUAAUCAUGAU
rnacentral:lncRNA from 10 species